UACAGACCUGUCCAUCAGGUGGCUGCUUUGUUCAUAAUAAACUCUUACUGUAAAGAUCUUCAGCAGAACCUGCUCAUGUUCUCCACCCCUCCUCUCUGCAGAACAUUGGGUUGAGUGUUAAAGACGACACGUAUGCAGCUCUCGACCCUGCAGGCCGGAAAUCUGAUGAUGUUUAUCACACACUUGUUAGAUGCCAGCAAAGACUUUGAGGAACAUGAUGAAGAAAAGAAGUUCUGAAACAGCUGAUGAAUAGAGAGAACUCUUUACUGAAAUGAAAAACCUGAAUCGCUUCUUUACUCUCGCAACAUGAGCAACUUACAGCCAUUUAAAUCAACUUUAAUCAUUUAUAGAAGUACAGAGUAUUUUUUCUGCUGUCUGCAGGUUAGAACUGUUUCAGUCUGCUGUAGAUUCUCAAUGAUAAAUACUUUAGUUCUGAAUGUAAAUAUUGCGUGUGCAUUUAGUAAUCCAUUAGUGUUUUAUUUCUUGUAUCACUCCCUAUGAUGUCAUAUGUUUUGUUAGCAACAAGCUAUCCAGCUAACAUUACUGAUAUUUAUCAUAUAUUAUCUUUCUCUAAAAUGUAAACUGUUUUACUCUUAAGCAUUAAAAUAUAUUAACUAAUUUCAA